UCCAGCGUGGAUCUUGCUGAGCUUGAGAUUGUUGAAAUAUAGCUGAAUUUCCAUCUAUGUAGCUGAAAUUGGAGUCGCUUUGAUACCGUCAAUGUUGAUCAAGAAUACUGCAGUUGCUUCGAUACCACCAUCUUGAAUCAAGAAUAAAAAAGUGCCAUGUUGAAUUGUCACACCCAAUUUUAAGGAUAAAAUUGAAUGCAAAACCUUAUGUGUGCCCAGAGAUCAAUCACACAUAAGCCGACAAAUUAUAGGGAGUAUCAUCACAAGUGUUUAAUACAUAACGAUAUAACUCAGAGUCUUUACACAAAUAUAGCGGAAAAUAAAAGAUAACUCUUGCAUGGAAGAUCCAUCUCACGGGCACGUCAACUGGUUGACCACAAGUCUAGAAAUCCUCAGGAAAGUACUGGUAGUAGUCAUUACCAUUGCCAUCUGUUACCCAUCCGGGAUUUUUAUCCAAAUAAAGAAAAUAAACAAGUGUAAGUACACCUCGUACUUAACAAGUAUAACAGGGGGUUCAUGAGGCUCAAAGGCUAGACACUGGUUCAACUGCAUGUAGCUUUUAGUUGUCACAAUUUUAGCAUAAGAGUAGCAUCAAGUUGUCAAGACCCAUAGUAAACUCAUGAUCAGGUAAAGUGAAUAAAGAAUAGCAUAACAGCAUAUUAACAAUAAUAACAUUUAAUGAAGUGCCAUUAGGUUCAUUUAUUCUGUAUUGGUCCAAGGCCGCUCGUGACCGUGAGCACGGCUGAUAUAUCAGUUUUACACUCUGCAGAGGUUGUACACUUUCACUGUGAGUCGUGAUUUACCCUUUCGCCCGAGGUGAUCAGCCCCUUAGCCCACUCCCAAGGAAGACCGGCAGGGUUCACUAUGAAGCCUUUCAAAGGUUCGUCUAACAAGUUAGGGCCGCUAGGUUUCGUUAGUCAGUCCGUGUGACUCACCCGCAGGAAUCCACGGUCUGCUAUCCCCCACUUGCGCCACAAGGGUAACCACUAACAAGCUAGAAAAGGUCCUCAUACUGAGCUAAAGCCAGAGCCAUAUAGCCCUCACAGUUGUACUGUAAGUCCCGGAUGGUCAGAUACAGAUAAGUCCUUAUGGAGAGAAACUAGAGCACCAUAUAAUAGCCCAAUGCUCCAGCCCUCUUUUUCCAAUGUUGCUAAAAAGUCAUCUUUAAUGUUUAUUGCAUAAUUCUUUAGUCAAAUUACAAGAUCAUGGUUUAGUGGAGCACUAGCAUAAGCUACCUAAUGCCAAACCAUAGGUGACAAGGUAUAAGAUCAAUACUAGGUAAUCCUUAUCAAGGAGACACAUGCAAUAUGAUUUGUGUGAUUAAAGUUAUUAGGAAACAAGGAUGAUCCCAUGCUAUACUUGCCUUGAUCACCCUGGUCCUGCUGAUCCUGCUCGUAGAAGUACUCUUGUUCACCCACGAACUGCUCACCGUCUACUUGUAACCACCACAUCAACAACAAUCAUCCAAAGGCAAUCAUGCAAAGCAAACAAGCCUAUUAUUAGAACAGUACACCAACAGUAAUAAAUAAAGAUAAAAAGUUUAUAAAACGAAUCUACAACGCCCUAUGAUCACACAGACGUAAAGAUCACGAAAAUCGGAGUUAUAACGAAGAAGUUAUGAUUUUCCAAAGUUUUACUUUAGAUAAAUAAUAGAUUAAAUCUAAACUCAGAUUUAAAAAGUUGAAAACUUGUACUACAGUAGCAUUAGACUAUAGAUUAUGCGAAAACGAAUCUAACGCAACUUGAACGGAUUAAAUCGGAGUUAAAACGAAGUUUUUAUGAGCAAAAUAGAUUCGAUGGCAAAACUGUAAAUCUGGGAAACUUCUUUUUGAACUGCGCGGCUGGAAUACGUUUUCCAACUUGGAAAGCGUAAAACGGGAAAGCGUAAAGGACUGCGGGUUAUAACAUUAAAAAGCGCAGGGGGUUUUCUGAAAAAUAGCCGGCCGAAGGGGUAUCCUUCGUUUCUGGCCGUUGGAUCUCAAACCGGUGGCCAGGAUUAGAUCGGGGUGGGGGAAGGGGAAACCGGCCGGCCGGAGUUGAGCAUGGCGCGACGGCUCCAUGGCCGGAGUUGGCCGGCGUUCGGCGUCCGGUUGACUUAGGGCACUAGAAAGAGAACCGAAAGCACCGGGGCGCUCAGAAGCUUGUCGCGAACUCACCUGAGGCAAGAACCGCGACAAAGAAAGGCCGGCUAGGGCUCGCGACGACGAACGGCGGACGACGGCUCUGCAAAGAGGUUCGGCGAGGGUUAGCAUUGAGCACGGUGCACGAAAACGAGAAGGGAAAGUUUCGGCGACUUCGUAAGGCGAUUCCGACGCCCGGCCAGCUGCUCACGGAGACUCACAGGCGCUGCAGCGGUGGAUUGGGUCACGGCGGAUCUCGGUGGUGAGCUUGAGCGAAAAUCGACGCGGUGGCUGCGGCUGGGGAUGAAUUGGGGGGUUGCGGGGCUUCGGGGCGGUAUUUAAAGGACGGGAAUCGGGCGAAAUCGAGACUCCUCGCCCGAAUCGCGCGCGUGGUUGAGCUCGGACUCGUGUCCUGGCCGGACUCAAGGUGGAAGACGACCCUGACCGCUGGGCCCCACCUGUCGGUGACACGGAAGCGUGGGGUCGGCCUGUCAUCUGCUGCGGCGAAGGGAGAGGAGGUGCGCGGCGCUGGUUGUCCUCCUGGGCCGCGAGGCGGGCCGACUGGCGCUGGGCCGGAGCAAGGAGGAGAAAGGGGGAAGGGGGCAGGCAGGCCGCGGGGGAAAAGAAAUGGGCCGAGCCCGAGAGAAGAAGGGGAAGAGGAAAUGCGGGCCGCGGGGGGGGAAAGAAGGGGUUGGGCCAAGCCCAAGUCGGGUAGGGAGAGGGAAAUGUCCUUUUCCAAUUUUCCAAUUUAUGUUUUGCUCAAAUAUUUUGAAAAGAAAAACAAAACCAAUUUGAAAAGAAAAACUUCACACACAAAAAUACAUGCAGCAGCAUGAAUGCACAUACAUGUUUCUAAAUCCUAUAGUGAAUUUUAUUCCAAAAAUUAUUUUCUCACUAUUCUUUAGUGCCCACAUGAGAUAAUUAAAUCAAUUAGCCUAUUUGGAAAAGUGAAAUUUUUAGGGUGUUACAAUUCUACCCCCCUUAAGAUGAAUCUCGUCCUCGAGAUUCGGUUGGUGCUUACUCAAACAACUGAGGAUACGAUUUUCUUAAGUCUUCUUCUCUUUCCCACGUAGCCUCUUCCUCGGUAUAUCUAUUCCACUGUACUCUGCACAUUCUGAUGACCCGACUCCUAGUGACUCUUUCUGCUGUUUCCAAAAUUCGAAUCGGAUAUUCUUCAUAAGUAAGAUCUCCUUUAACAGUUAAUUCCUCUAUCGGUAUCUGCUCUUCUGGCACUCGCAAGCACUUCUUAAGCUGUGACACGUGGAAGACAUCAUGCACUCCUUUUAAACUCUCAGGCAGUUCCAACUGGUAUGCCACUUCGCCUCGCCUUUCCAACACUCUGAAAGGCCCAAUAUACCUUGGUGCUAACUUCCCUUUCAUGUUAAAUCUUCUCACACUUCUCAUAGGGGAAACCUUCAAAUACACAUAGUCUCCUACUUCAAAAGCCAACUCUCUUCUUCGUGUAUCAGCAUAACUCUUCUGCCGAGACUGUGCUGCUCUCAAGUUCUCUCGAAUUAUUCUCACCUGCUGUUCUGCAUCUCGUAACACAUCUGGUCCAAACACUUGUGUUUCUCCCGCUUGAUUCCAAAACAACGGGGUUCUACACUUCCGACCAUACAAGGCUUCAAAUGGUGCCAUCUGGAGACUUUUCUGAUAGCUGUUGUUGUAUGAAAACUCUGCAUAUGGCAAACUCUUAUCCCAACUCGUCCCAUACUGCAAAGCACAUGCCCUCAGCAUAUCUUCUAAAAUUUGAUUUGUCCUCUCAGUCUGCCCAUCAGUCUGAGGAUGGUAUGCUGUACUAAAAUUCAGCUUAGUCCCCAGAGACUCAUGCACUUUCUGCCAAAAGUGAGAUGUAAACUGGGUACCUCGAUCAGAUACUAUCUUCCUGGGGACCCCAUGCAAACACACUAUUCUUUCCAUGUACAACUCAGCUAAUUUUGGUCCACUAUAUUUGGUCUUGACUGGGAUAAAGUGAGCAACCUUUGUUAACCGAUCCACUAUUACCCAUAUAGAGUCAUAACCUUUCUGAGUGCGGGGUAAUCCCACUAUGAAGUCCAUACCAACUUCCUCCCACUUCCACUCGGGGAUCUUCAUUGGUUGCAACAAUCCUGCCGGUCUCUGAUGUUCUGCUUUGACCCUCUGGCAAGUAUCACACAAAGCGACAUACUCCGCAACAUCUCUUUUCAGGCCAUACCACCAAUACUUCUCUUUUAGGUCUAGGUACAUCUGAGUGCUGCCAGGGUGUAUAGAAUAAGCGGACUCGUGUGCCUCCCGCAGAAUUGCCUCUCUAAUAGACCGAUCCUCCGGCACACAUAGCCUUUUCCCAAACCAUAGUGUCCCAUUAUCAUCCAUUCGGAAACCUGGUGCCUUUCCGAUCACUAUGUUUUCAGCUAUCUCCUUCAGCUUUUCAUCCUGUAACUGACCCUUUCGUAUUUCUUGCUCCAAGGUAGGUUCUAUUACUAACUCCACUGCAUUAAUAACAAAACCCAAGUUCAAAAGUGAAAUUUCAGCACACAACUCCUCAGCCAUAGAGGCUAUUUGCACCUCGUUGGCAUAGCUCUUCCUGCUUAGGGCGUCUGCAACUACAUUUGCCUUCCCCGGGUGGUAGUGUACCUCCAAAUCAUAAUCCUUGAUCAGUUCUAACCACCGACGUUGCCUCAAAUUCAGAUCCGACUGUGUGAAUAUAUACUUCAAACUCUUAUGGUCCGUGUAUAUGUCACUCUUAUGACCAAUAAGAUAGUGUCUCCAGAUCUUCAAGGCAUGAACCACUGCGGCUAACUCCAAGUCAUGAGUAGGAUAAUUCAACUCAUGCUUCCUCAACUGUCGGGAUGCAUAUGCCACUACUCUUCCUUCUUGCAUAAGAACACACCCAAGUCCUAGACGGGAUGCAUCACAAUAUAUGGAGAAAUUCUUGCUUAGAUCUGGUAGUACUAACACUGGAGCUGUAGUCAACCGCUUCUUCAACUCCUCGAAAUUUUCUUGACACUUCUCAGACCACACAAACUUGGCGUUUUUCUCAAGCAGAGCUGUCAUUGGUUUGGCAAGCUUGGAGAAUCCCUCAAUGAAUCUUCGGUAAUAACCAGCCAAUCCCAAGAAGCUGCGGAUUCCACUCACAUCGGUAGGUGGUUUCCAAUCGAGCACAUCCUUCACCUUGCUUGGAUCCACUGCUAUUCCUCCAUUAGAGACAACAUGGCCUAGAAAGGAAACUUCCUUCAACCAAAACUCACACUUGCUUCGUUUAGCAUAUAACUUGUGUUCCCGAAGCUUCUGCAAGACUAACCUCAGAUGCUCAGCGUGCUCUCGCUCAGUCUUGGAGAAUACCAAUAUGUCGUCAAUAAACACCACCACAAACUUAUCAAGAAACUCCAUGAACACCUUAUUCAUCAGGUACAUAAAGUAAGCAGGAGCAUUGGUCAGACCGAAAGACAUCACUGUGUACUCAUACAAACCAUACCGGGUUGUGAAUGCUGUCUUUGGUAUAUCAGUGGCACGAAUCUUCAGCUGAUGGUAUCCAGAACGAAGAUCGAUCUUGGAAAACACACAAGCACCUCUCAACUGAUCAAACAAAUCAUCAAUUCUAGGCAAUGGAUAUUUAUUCUUGAUUGUGACCUCAUUGAGUGACCGGUAGUCUACACACAUCCUCUGUGUACCAUCUUUCUUAUCGACAAAAAUCACUGGUGCCCCCCAAGGUGAAGAGCUAGGACGUAUGAACCCUUUUUCCUGCAACUCCUUUAUUUGUUUCUUGAGUUCUUCUAAUUCUUUAACCCCCAUUCUAUAUGGACGUUUAGCUAUAGGUGCAGUGCCAGGUAAUAAUUCAAUAAUAAACUCAAUGUCACGGUCGGGUGGCAUACCUGGCAAAUCAUCGGGGAACACGUCUGGGAACUCAUCCACAACCAAGCCCUCCUGAUUGGCACUGUUAUCAAGCUGGUUCACUGUAGCUGUUGGCUGAGGCUGAACUGCAACUUCCACACAGAUUCUGUCCCCUUUUGGUGUUGUUAAUGCAACUGCCUUUCCUUUACACUGAAUUGAUGCAUCUUGUUGUUUCAUCCAAUCCAUUCCCAGAAUCACAUCUAUACCAGAUGCUCUCAACACAAUUGGACUUAUCUUGAACUCUACCCCCCUUAAGUUUAAAGUAAGCGGGAGGCAACUAUAAGCAGCUUGCAUACUUCCCCCCGGUGAAUUUACUAAUAUGGGAUUCUUCAUGGCACAUAAGGGUAGGCUAUGUAUUCUAACAAAUGCUUGUGAUAUGAAAGUAUGCGAAGCUCCAGAAUCAAAAAGAACAGAUGCGGGGAUAGAGUUGACUUCGAACGUACCGAGCAUAACUUCCGGUUCCUGCUGUGCUGUCUCAGAGGACAUAUGGUUCACCCUUCCAGUGUUGGGAGCUGACUUCUGGUUGCUAUUUUGCUUCUGGGGGGUGUGCUGAUUUUGUUUUUCAGGGCAGUGAUAUGAUAGGUGACCCUCUUUACCACAGCGGUAACACUUGUUGGGGGUGUUAGGGGCACUAGUCUUCAUCGGAGUGUUACUGGGCGUACCCUGGCGUGACGUCUGCUGAUUUCCCUGCUGCUGAUUCUGCUGAUACUGCGGGCGCUGCUGGAACUGAUUGCGCUGGGGGUACUGACCACGAUUCCACUGUGAAGGUGGUCCUUGGUACCUUUGCUGAGAGCCUUGCUGCUGGUUGGUGCGUUGACGAGUAUUACUUCCGGAGGCCUGUCCCUGCAUCCUCUUCCUUUUAGCAUCCAUCUCCUUACGCUUGUUAUCCACCACGAUAGCACGGUUCACAAGUGUCUGAUAGUUGGGGUAUUCAUUGGACAUCAGCUGGAGUUGGAGCCCAUCAUACAAUCCCUUCAAAAAGAGGCGCUGUUUAUCAGCAUCGUUAGCCACCUCACUGGGAGCAUAGCGCGACAACUGAGCAAACUUGUCCCUAUACUCCGGAACUGUCAUAGAACCCUGCUUCAAAUUCCGGAACUCCUCUGCCUUCAGUUCUAUUAACCCUUCAGGUAUGUGAUAGGACCUAAAGUUCUCCUUGAACUCCAACCAUGUGAUAGCAGGUGCAUUGGGAGGUCGUCCAUACUCAAACGACUCCCACCACGUCUGAGCUUCUCCCUGAAGUUGUCCCGAUGCGAACAACACCUUCUGCCUAUCAUCACACUGUGCUAUGUUGAGUUGCUUCUCCACUGCUCGAAGCCAGUCAUCUGCCUCCAGUGGGUCAGUAGCAUGUGUGAACACAGGGGGAUGACCUUUCAAAAAUUCACCCCGCUUAUCACGCGGUGGUGCUCCUCCGAUUGGGUGAUUCUGUUGGUUGUUCACCAGGGCUUCCAUAAGCUGCGUCUGAACUGCUAGUAGCUGUUCAAUGGUGGCGGGUGGGUUGAGUGGGACACCCCUUCCACGUCCUCUACCUCUUGGCGGCAUCUGUCAUAACAUUAAAACUUUAGAAACUCCCAAAAUAUAGACUUUCAUACACAAGCUGCAAUCCUGAAAACUUUCUGAGUGAGUCCAGUGCCAGCAGUUCAGUAAAACGAUCAUAACUUGAGAUAUAAAAGUCCAACAGAGGCGAAACUUUGAUGGUUGGAAAGCUUAAGAAAUUGCCUACAACUUUUAUUUAGAACACAAAUUCAGAUUCGGACAUUAGAUUAGCCAUAAACUGUCUCCAACCGAAACUGUCCCAGAACUCAAACUGCACAGGAACCUCUGUUUUCAACAUUCAUAACUCUCGGCUUAGAUCAGAUAAAAAGGUGAUUCCAGCGGCAUAGGAAAGAUGCUUAAGUCUAGUUAUUCCCAUAAAAUUUUCAUAAUUUUUGGUCGAACGGAUUUUUCUGGGUAAAAUUAUUAAGACAGAAAGGUUUAAGGAACGAAAACAGGAAAGACAGAUUUUUCCAACCCAACUAUUUAUUCAUUAAACCUUAAUCCUUAAUAACCUAAACUAUGGAACUUGUAGACAUGCCUACAAUGUCCCAGCACUCAUUACAAAGAUCCAACUCACUCAUGAACAUAAUAACAAGCAACUAAGCAUAACAAAAGCACACCACACUAACUUGACUCAACUCACUAGCGCUUCUAACGGCUUAUUACAAAUAGGGACUUCCAACACUAAGGGCGUGGUUCAUAGUCAAGUUUUCCAUAGAUCUUGGGCUGUCCUUCCCUCUCACGAUGCUCGUCAAUCAUCUUGUAGCACCUCUUGAGAGCCUUCCCUUGUGCUAUCACCAUGUCUUGCAAUUUCAAAUGCUUUUCCACCAUCUCAUGAGCGAAGUACACCAUCACUCGGGAGACUGGGUCCAAAUCUGUUGGCUCCAGCAUUCCCCAUCCGUGUUCCGGGUCCAGGCGGGGUAGAUAACGGUGUAUGUCCCACCGCAUGUUACCGAAACGCUGCUCUCGGAGGAACAAACAUGCUGUGAAAGCUGCUUCCUCCAUGCUCUCUUCCAUGGUAGCCCUAUGUCCAUCAUGACGGUAGCCCCUGUCCUUCAAGUAGGCAUCUUUCUCCACAUCUUUGGGAAAGAUCAGCACCUUGGACUUCCAGUAGGUGUUCUCCAGGGGGUGUGUGUACUCAAUGCAGGAAUACUCCACCACUGCAUCCCAGUCAGAAAAGUAAUUCUCCAACAUUCCCACUAGCCGGUGAUGUGACGGAGCGUUGCACGAAGCCUUGUGGUACACCUUUCUAGUCCACCCUAUGGGAGGGGACUCAUCCUCUUCAGCAGGUCCAUCUUGUGGUGGUGAUGGGGGUUGACCUCCUCCGGGAGCACCUUCUUCUUCAUCAUCGGAAAUAAGUAUGAACUCCUGGGGCUCCUCCUCUGGUUCAGACUCCACUUGCGAUAGCUCUGGCCCAGAUGCUUGCUCUGAAGGUGGUGGGGUCUCCUCGUGCUCCGGUGAACUCUCCUCUUGCGGCUCCAUAGGCUCGUAUUGGUAACGAGGUGGGUGGUACCCUCCAGUGGAGAUACGGGCGGUCUUGUUGGCACGAACCAUCUAUAGAAUGGACCGGAGAGAAGUUAGAUUAGAAUCAAUGAUUUCAUAAUAGAAUAAGAUGAUAGAAGCGUAAAGUUUUUAGAAAAUAACAAGAGCAAGAUGGUAAGCAUGAAUGUAGAGAAGAAAAGACUACGGAAACGACCGUUUCUAUCUAGGCUUGCGUCCUACAGUCAACACGGCUCUGAUACCAAUUUGUCACACCCAAUUUUAAGGAUAAAAUUGAAUGCAAAACCUUAUGUGUGCCCAGAGAUCAAUCACACAUAAGCCGACAAAUUAUAGGGAGUAUCAUCACAAGUGUUUAAUACAUAACGAUAUAACUCAGAGUCUUUACACAAAUAUAGCGGAAAAUAAAAGAUAACUCUUGCAUGGAAGAUCCAUCUCACGGGCACGUCAACUGGUUGACCACAAGUCUAGAAAUCCUCAGGAAAGUACUGGUAGUAGUCAUUACCAUUGCCAUCUGUUACCCAUCCGGGAUUUUUAUCCAAAUAAAGAAAAUAAACAAGUGUAAGUACACCUCGUACUUAACAAGUAUAACAGGGGGUUCAUGAGGCUCAAAGGCUAGACACUGGUUCAACUGCAUGUAGCUUUUAGUUGUCACAAUUUUAGCAUAAGAGUAGCAUCAAGUUGUCAAGACCCAUAGUAAACUCAUGAUCAGGUAAAGUGAAUAAAGAAUAGCAUAACAGCAUAUUAACAAUAAUAACAUUUAAUGAAGUGCCAUUAGGUUCAUUUAUUCUGUAUUGGUCCAAGGCCGCUCGUGACCGUGAGCACGGCUGAUAUAUCAGUUUUACACUCUGCAGAGGUUGUACACUUUCACUGUGAGUCGUGAUUUACCCUUUCGCCCGAGGUGAUCAGCCCCUUAGCCCACUCCCAAGGAAGACCGGCAGGGUUCACUAUGAAGCCUUUCAAAGGUUCGUCUAACAAGUUAGGGCCGCUAGGUUUCGUUAGUCAGUCCGUGUGACUCACCCGCAGGAAUCCACGGUCUGCUAUCCCCCACUUGCGCCACAAGGGUAACCACUAACAAGCUAGAAAAGGUCCUCAUACUGAGCUAAAGCCAGAGCCAUAUAGCCCUCACAGUUGUACUGUAAGUCCCGGAUGGUCAGAUACAGAUAAGUCCUUAUGGAGAGAAACUAGAGCACCAUAUAAUAGCCCAAUGCUCCAGCCCUCUUUUUCCAAUGUUGCUAAAAAGUCAUCUUUAAUGUUUAUUGCAUAAUUCUUUAGUCAAAUUACAAGAUCAUGGUUUAGUGGAGCACUAGCAUAAGCUACCUAAUGCCAAACCAUAGGUGACAAGGUAUAAGAUCAAUACUAGGUAAUCCUUAUCAAGGAGACACAUGCAAUAUGAUUUGUGUGAUUAAAGUUAUUAGGAAACAAGGAUGAUCCCAUGCUAUACUUGCCUUGAUCACCCUGGUCCUGCUGAUCCUGCUCGUAGAAGUACUCUUGUUCACCCACGAACUGCUCACCGUCUACUUGUAACCACCACAUCAACAACAAUCAUCCAAAGGCAAUCAUGCAAAGCAAACAAGCCUAUUAUUAGAACAGUACACCAACAGUAAUAAAUAAAGAUAAAAAGUUUAUAAAACGAAUCUACAACGCCCUAUGAUCACACAGACGUAAAGAUCACGAAAAUCGGAGUUAUAACGAAGAAGUUAUGAUUUUCCAAAGUUUUACUUUAGAUAAAUAAUAGAUUAAAUCUAAACUCAGAUUUAAAAAGUUGAAAACUUGUACUACAGUAGCAUUAGACUAUAGAUUAUGCGAAAACGAAUCUAACGCAACUUGAACGGAUUAAAUCGGAGUUAAAACGAAGUUUUUAUGAGCAAAAUAGAUUCGAUGGCAAAACUGUAAAUCUGGGAAACUUCUUUUUGAACUGCGCGGCUGGAAUACGUUUUCCAACUUGGAAAGCGUAAAACGGGAAAGCGUAAAGGACUGCGGGUUAUAACAUUAAAAAGCGCAGGGGGUUUUCUGAAAAAUAGCCGGCCGAAGGGGUAUCCUUCGUUUCUGGCCGUUGGAUCUCAAACCGGUGGCCAGGAUUAGAUCGGGGUGGGGGAAGGGGAAACCGGCCGGCCGGAGUUGAGCAUGGCGCGACGGCUCCAUGGCCGGAGUUGGCCGGCGUUCGGCGUCCGGUUGACUUAGGGCACUAGAAAGAGAACCGAAAGCACCGGGGCGCUCAGAAGCUUGUCGCGAACUCACCUGAGGCAAGAACCGCGACAAAGAAAGGCCGGCUAGGGCUCGCGACGACGAACGGCGGACGACGGCUCUGCAAAGAGGUUCGGCGAGGGUUAGCAUUGAGCACGGUGCACGAAAACGAGAAGGGAAAGUUUCGGCGACUUCGUAAGGCGAUUCCGACGCCCGGCCAGCUGCUCACGGAGACUCACAGGCGCUGCAGCGGUGGAUUGGGUCACGGCGGAUCUCGGUGGUGAGCUUGAGCGAAAAUCGACGCGGUGGCUGCGGCUGGGGAUGAAUUGGGGGGUUGCGGGGCUUCGGGGCGGUAUUUAAAGGACGGGAAUCGGGCGAAAUCGAGACUCCUCGCCCGAAUCGCGCGCGUGGUUGAGCUCGGACUCGUGUCCUGGCCGGACUCAAGGUGGAAGACGACCCUGACCGCUGGGCCCCACCUGUCGGUGACACGGAAGCGUGGGGUCGGCCUGUCAUCUGCUGCGGCGAAGGGAGAGGAGGUGCGCGGCGCUGGUUGUCCUCCUGGGCCGCGAGGCGGGCCGACUGGCGCUGGGCCGGAGCAAGGAGGAGAAAGGGGGAAGGGGGCAGGCAGGCCGCGGGGGAAAAGAAAUGGGCCGAGCCCGAGAGAAGAAGGGGAAGAGGAAAUGCGGGCCGCGGGGGGGGAAAGAAGGGGUUGGGCCAAGCCCAAGUCGGGUAGGGAGAGGGAAAUGUCCUUUUCCAAUUUUCCAAUUUAUGUUUUGCUCAAAUAUUUUGAAAAGAAAAACAAAACCAAUUUGAAAAGAAAAACUUCACACACAAAAAUACAUGCAGCAGCAUGAAUGCACAUACAUGUUUCUAAAUCCUAUAGUGAAUUUUAUUCCAAAAAUUAUUUUCUCACUAUUCUUUAGUGCCCACAUGAGAUAAUUAAAUCAAUUAGCCUAUUUGGAAAAGUGAAAUUUUUAGGGUGUUACAUGAAUCAGGAGUUGCUUUCAUACCGCCAUCUUGAAUCAAGAAUAAAAGGUUGAGUGUGGUCUGUCAUGAUGUAUUAUUCGGGCCUCAAACUCUCAAAAUGUAUUUAGGUCUCUAAACUUGUCUUGGUUUGCAAUAGUCCAUAAAAUUUAAAAUACUUUAAUUUUUUUGGAUCAUGUACUUAUCCCAAGGUGUCACCUAGAUCCCUAAAGUUAUUACGAGACUCAAUUGCUUGUGCACGAUGUUGCGUGCUAUGAUGGAUUCCCUUGGCUUAGUUCUUCA
rnacentral:lncRNA from 1 species